rnacentral:rRNA from 1 species
GACGAACGCUGGCGGCGUGCAUAUUACAUGCAAGUUGAGCGCUGAAGGUUGGUACUUGUACCCACUGGAUGCGCAGCAAACGGGUGUGUAACGCGUGGGGAAUCUGCCUUUGAGCGGGGGACAACCUUUGGAAACGAAUGCUAAUAGCGCAUAAAAACUUUAAACACAAGUUUUAAGUUUGAAUGAUGCAAUAGCAUCACUCAAAGAUGAUCCCGCGUUGUAUUAGCUAGUUGGUGUGGUAAAGGCUCACCAAGGCGAUGAUACAUAGCCGACCGGAGAGGGUGUGCGGCCACAUUGGGAGUGAGACACGGCCCAAACUGCUGCGGGAGGCAGCAGUAUGGAAUCGUCGGCAAUGGACGAAAGUCUGACCGAGAAACGCCGCGUGAGUGAAGAAGGUUUUCGGAUCGUAAAACUCUGUUGGUAGAGAAGAACGUUGGUGAGAGUGGAAAGCUCAUCAAGUGACGGUAACUACCCAGAAAGGGACGGCUAACUACGUG